UCAUCAAAAUACACAUUCUUGCUUCUCAAGCACAUAUAUAUGAUUAUUUAAAUCUAACAUUUUAUUCUAUUAACAUAAAACAUACAAUUUUCAAGAAAAACAAUUAUUCAAAAGAAAAGAGAAAAUGCAUCAUGGAAAACAUCAAGUAAUUUCAAAAUAAUUCAAGAGAGUUGAGUUACUUACCUUGUAGUCGAAGCCCGUCAAAGCCCAAUUCUCCGUUUCACCUUUGGAAGUUCUUGAUUCAUCCUUGGUUGCCUUCCUCUUCUUUGGCCUCUUCCUCCGUUCAAGUUCAUUGUUUAUUUUAGAUUUUUGUUUAAUAAACUUAUUAAGAUUUAGUAUUCGAAAUUCAAGUUCAUCAUUGUCCUCAUCACUUGAGUCAUUGCUCAAGUGGUAUCCAUUUGUCCGGAGUUCCAAAUC
rnacentral:lncRNA from 1 species